rnacentral:lncRNA from 1 species
CUGGUGGCCACCUAAAUACAAUCGUCCUGUUCCCCUCAUUGGUCUCUCCGGUCUCCUGAUUCCAGCCACAUUUUGGUGAGCCAGCCAGGAGUGAAGACGACAGGUUUGCUGUCUCCUUUGCCUGUGGGUCUGGGGCCCCAGCCUGGGGGAGACCCGUGACUCCAGGCAUGCUAUCAGGACAACUUCAACCCGAGGGGAGAUCAGCUCUCCCGCAACCUGGUGCCGCUCUCUGACAGCACAACAGAACCUAAGGGGCUACAGGAUGAUUCAAGGAACAGUGUGCUACAGGACCUCGCAAGAAGACCCUCACCAGAUGCAGCCCCUCUAUGUUGGA